rnacentral:rRNA from 1 species
GAUGAACGCUGGCGGCGUGCCUAAUACAUGCAAGUCGAGCGAACGGACGAGAAGCUUGCUUUUCUGAUGUUAGCGGCGGACGGGUGAGUAACACGUGGAUAACUUACCUAUAAGACUGGGAUAACUUCGGGAAACCGGAGCUAAUACCGGAUAAUAUUUUGAACCGCAUGGUUCAAAAGUGAAAGACGGUCUUGCUGUCACUUAUAGAUGGAUCCGCGCUGCAUUAGCUAGUUGGUAAGGUAACGGCUUACCAAGGCAACGAUGCAUAGCCGACCUGAGAGGGUGAUCGGCCACACUGGAACUGAGACACGGUCCAGACUCCUACGGGAGGCAGCAGUAGGGAAUCUUCCGCAAUGGGCGAAAGCCUGACGGAGCAACGCCGCGUGAGUGAUGAAGGUCUUCGGAUCGUAAAACUCUGUUAUUAGGGAAGAACAUAUGUGUAAGUAACUGUGCACAUCUUGACGGUACCUAAUCAGAAAGCCACGGCUAACUACGUG